rnacentral:rRNA from 1 species
AAAAAAGGUAAGCUACUAAGAGCGAAUGGUGGAUGCCUUGACUGGUAAAGGCGAUGAAGGACGUACUAGACUGCGAUAAGCUACGGGGAGCUGUCAAGAAGCUUUGAUCCGUAGAUUUCCGAAUGGGGCAACCCAGUAUAUAGAGAUAUAUACUACCAUAAUGGAGCGAACGAGGGGAAUUGAAACAUCUUAGUACCCUCAGGAAAAGAAAUCAAUAGAGAUUACGUCAGUAGCGGCGAGCGAAAGCGUAAGAGGGCAAACCCAGUGCUUGCACUGGGGGUUGUAGGACUGCAAUGUGCAAUAAGUAAGGUUAGUAGAACACUCUGGAAAGUGUAGCCAUAGAGGGUGAUAGUCCCGUAUACGAAAACCAAACUUUAGCUAGCAGUAUCCUGAGUAGGGCGAAACACGUGGAAUUUUGUCUGAAGCUGGGUCGACCACGAUCCAACCCUAAAUACUAAUACCAGAUCGAUAGUGCACAAGUACCGUGAGGGAAAGGUGAAAAGAACUGAGGUGAUCAGAGUGAAAUAGAACCUGAAACCAUUUGCUUACAAUCAUUCAGAGCACUAUGUAGCAAUACAGUGUGAUGGACUGCCUUUUGCAUAAUGAGCCUGCGAGUUGUGGUGUCUGGCAAGGUUAAGCACACGCGAAGCCGUAGCGAAAGCGAGUCUGAAUAGGGCGCUUAAGUCAGAUGCUGCAGACCCGAAACGAAGUGAUCUAUCCAUGAGCAAGUUGAAGCUAGUGUAAGAACUAGUGGAGGACUGAACCCAUAGGCGUUGAAAAGCCCCGGGAUGACUUGUGGAUAGGGGUGAAAGGCCAAUCAAACUUCGUGAUAGCUGGUUCUCUCCGAAAUAUAUUUAGGUAUAGCGUUGUGUCGUAGUAUAAGGGGGUAGAGCACUGAAUGGGCUAGGGCAUACACCAAUGUACCAAACCCUAUCAAACUCCGAAUACCUUAUAUGUAAUCACAGCAGUCAGGCGGCGAGUGAUAAAAUCCGUCGUCAAGAGGGAAACAACCCAGACUAUCAGCUAAGGUCCCCAAGUCUUACUUAAGUGGAAAACGAUGUGAAGUUACUUAAACAACCAGGAGGUUGGCUUAGAAGCAGCCAUCCUUUAAAGAAAGCGUAAUAGCUCACUGGUCUAGUGAUUUUGCGCGGAAAAUAUAACGGGGCUAAAGUAAGCACCGAAGCUAUAGACUUAGUUUUACUAAGUGGUAGGAGAGCGUUCUAUUUGCGUCGAAGGUAUACCGGUAAGGAGUGCUGGAGCGAAUAGAAGUGAGCAUGCAGGCAUGAGUAGCGAUAAUUAAUGUGAGAAUCAUUAACGCCGUAAACCCAAGGUUUCCUACGCGAUGCUCGUCAUCGUAGGGUUAGUCGGGUCCUAAGUCGAGUCCGAAAGGGGUAGACGAUGGCAAAUUGGUUAAUAUUCCAAUACCAACAUUAGUGUGCGAUGGAAGGACGCUUAGGGCUAAGCAAGCUAGCGGAUGGAAGUGCUAGUCUAAGGAUGUAGGAGCUUAUACAGGCAAAUCCGUAUAAGAAUACUCCGAGAUCUUAAAGGCUCUUUGAAGUCUUCGGAUGGAUAGGAGAAUUGCUGAUGCC